CAACAUCACCCGACUUCGAGAGGUAUGUUCAUCCUCUGAGAUAUUUUGUUCUUAUAGUUUUUCCCUUUAUUUGUUACAUAUUGUAAAUCCAAAAGUUGUAUACAUGGGUACUCAUUAUAAUCAUGUAGUCCAUCAAUAUUCGAUCUGGUUGAUUCAUGUUUUGACUCUCACCGUUGUGAUUUUUUUGUUUUGAUACAUACACUGUUGUGAUUUUGGUUCUUGCUGGUUAUUUUUUAGUUUUUUAUCCGAUUAAUAAAAACAAUUAAGAAGAGGGUGUUUGUGUUCAUCAGAAAUUGAAGUCAGCGUAAUCUUUAUAUCAUUCAUUUUUAGGCUUUUGUUGUUGUAGAUUGAUACAUGAUAUUUUGGUUUACCACCAUAGCCAACACAUUGGAGGAAACUGUGUUGUUGUUUACGUGUUUGACAAAAUGAUUCAUUCAAAAGGAAUUUUUACUCUUCAAAAAUCAUAGUCUAUCAAGUUAGGUUCAUUAGUGAGAUGUAUCGUUGCUUCUGUUCAUUGUUUUCCAAAAUGGUAUAUCUGAUUUUAGAUCCUUGGAUAGUUAAAGAAGACACCGAAAGGCAUCAAUCUUUGUCUGUUUGUUAGUUUAAUAUGCUUCAAGGAUUUGUAUGCCCAUGCAUACCUUCCAUUUAAAGAAUUCUAAUUUGUGUUAAAUUGUUUGUGUUUUGUUUAUUGAACGUAUCUUUGUACCAAACCACUCGAUAUGACACCCUAAGUGACACACAUGGUAAAAAAGUAGUUCAUCUGCCUCACCGGACAGUUUAGGGGGUUAAAGGCCCCUUAGUAGCCAGGAACGUGUAAGCACAUCACGAAUCUUAUUGGGAAUCGCGAUUUUACGCUCCUCACAGAUAUUCGUGAUCAGAGCACGCUUCUAACGGGAGAGAAAUGCGAUCCCAUCAAGUGUGAAACAUUUUAAUACAAUUAUACUGGAAAGUAGAGAAAAGAAAGGGAAAACGAAGCAGAGAGAAAGAAAGGGAAGAAAAAGAAAGCAGGAAAAAAAAUACGACAGAAUAAAGGGAAGAAGACGGCUGGGAGAAGAAAAAUAAUAUGGCCUUUGCUGUUAAAGUUAUAAUGAUAAGGAAAUGGCAAAAGUAUGACUUUAUGGCCGCUAACGGCUUUACCAAUGUGGAAAUGGUUAUUGUUGACAUGCAGGUACUAAUGAAGUCUCUCAUCACAUUUGUUGUUCGAUUAAAUGAUUUUUCCCCUUAAACAUCUUUCGCUCAUGUAGGUAACAGGAGGCAAUUUAUGCCCUAUCCUCCACCAAUCUUACAAGAGUAUACCCCAAUAUUGACUUACCAGCUGUUGUAGUCAUGUAUGAUAGAGUGUUCAGAUUGACAAAUUUACGUUAAAGGUUGGGACCGAUAACCAUUAUUCCCUACAAAUUAUGUUAUACUGAGUUCGAAGCCCUCGAAUUGAACCUUCAGAACAUACACCUUACAGAUAUGGUUGGCUUCCUAAAAACCAUCACCAACAUCCAACUGCUUCAAAGGGCCGGUGGGAAAUCUAGUAGAAUGCGCGAGAUCGCAGUUAAGAAUUUAGAUGCUUGGAAUCAACACCACGACACCAUAUAACAGCUCCAACCAAGAAAGGGAAAGCAUCAAUUGAAAUUUUGGAUAUUUAUAAUAAUAAAACAAUCUCCCAGCUGCUUUGCUCAAAACGGAAAUACCCUGUUAGUUUUGCGUUUCAUCUCAUAUAAACGUACUUUAAUUCCCAUGUUGCACCAUUGGGCUAAUCAGUUUUCCUAAAUGUAUGGUAUGCAAGGUAUGCAUGCUUCUAAUGUCUUCAUGUGCUCCACAACCACCAAAGUCCUCAUUGAAAAUGAUUGGUACUAUCUGAGGCAUUAUUUAUUUUUUGGAGGAAAUAGAAUAUAUAUUAAA